UACGAAGGGGGCUAGCGUUGCUCGGAAUCACUGGGCGUAAAGCGCACGUAGGCGGAUUGCUAAGUCGGGGGUGAAAUCCUGGAGCUCAACUCCAGAACUGCCUUCGAUACUGGAAGCUCGAGUCCGGGAGAGGUGAGUGGAACUGCGAGUGUAGAGGUGAAAUUCGUAGAUAUUCGCAGGAACACCAGUGGCGAAGGCGGCUCACUGGCCCGGUACUGACGCUGAGGUGCGAAAGCGUGGGGAGCAAACAGG
rnacentral:rRNA from 1 species